UAUGCACCUUUACCGAGAACCUUAUGUAUGAUGAAAGGCCCUUCCCAAGUUGGUGACCAUUUGCCGAACCUAGGGUCUUUAAUUCCUACAGGCAACACCGUUUGCCAAACUAAUUCUCCUUCGCCAAAUGUUUUCUGUCGGACCUUUUGAUUGUACGCUCGCUCGACAAUCUAUUUUUAUGCCACCAGUAAGUUAUAAGCAUCGAGUCGCGUUUCUUCUAAGUCUUUUAACUCCUGUCUCAUGGACUGAUUGUAUUUGGCGCUGAACAAACUACUUUGUUCAAUUAUUCGUAACGAAUUUAUGC
rnacentral:lncRNA from 1 species